rnacentral:lncRNA from 1 species
UUGGAAUAGUUAUUUUAAUAUACAGUCAUAUAUGCUUUUAAAAUGAAAAAUCUAUCAGUGUUUUUCCUCCUUUUUUUUCUUUUAUAUAUUGAACAAGUUUUAGGAAAUGCUGUUUUACUUACUAGCAAUAAUAACCCUACACACCAUCAACACGGACAUACAGGAAGCAAGCCAAAAGUUGAUGUACAUAGUUUAAUUAAAGAUCUUAUAGCAAAGGAAGAUGAAGUGGCUGAUUUAGAGAAAUCAAAUUUAAAAUGUAAAAUUAUUGCUACGGUUUUGGGAAUACUAGCUACUAUUGCAUCAGUCGUUGCUGGUGUUCUGGCAUAUAAAUGUGCCUUUAAAAAAGGAGAGAGACAAUAUAAAAGCGGUUUUGAUGGUACUAAUGAUGAUGGUGGUAGUGGUGAUGGUGUUGGAGGUGGUAGUGGUGAUGGCAGUGGUAGCAGUGGUAGUGGUGGAGAUAACAUAACUCCACUAUUGUCAGAUAAAUGAUGUAAAAUAUGUGCUGAUACAAAGAUAAACACGUAAGGUUUAUGUAUAUAUGGGCUUUGGUAUAUGUAUAGUGAUUAACAUAAACACACGUACAAUACAUAGUUAAUCAUAAAAUUUUCUUUAUAUUUUUGGUAUAAUUUGGUAUAUAUAUGUAAUUUUCAUUUCUCAUUUAUUUUACUAAGAUCUUAUUUUUUUAAUUUUUAUUUUUAUAGUGAUAGGAAUAAUUUAGGAAAUAGGACCUUUAAUUUAUAUAACUUGGCUACCUACAAAGUAUAUUUUAUAUUAAUUGUUAGGUUUUCAAACACGCCAGUAUAUAUUUUUUUAUUAUUAAUAUAAAGAAAUGUUGCAUGUACAUAUAUAUAAGCACUUAUUUUGUAAAAGUUACUGCUUCUUUUAAGAUAAUAAUGUGUUUUUUUUUUUUUUUUUUAUAAUAAUUUUUUUUUUUUUUUUAUAUUGUACUAAUGAAAUGUAUUUGGUUGUAGUGAUUUUAACGGUAUAUAUACAUAUAUUCAUUUAUUUAUUGUUAUUUUUUUUUUUUCUAUAUUUAUUUUUACUUAUCUAGUAAUUUUUUUUAAUUUUAAUUAAUUUUUAUAUUGAUUUUUUUAUAUACUACUAUUAUUAUUAUUACUAUUAUUAUUUUAUUUGAUAUUUCUUUUAAUUUUAAUUUUUGGCAUAUUUUACUAUUUAAAAGGAUUUUUAUUUUAUAUAAAACUGUUUGAUGGGUAGUGUUUCUCUUCUUUUAUUAAUUUUUAUUUAUUAAGAAUUAUAUUAAAUGAUAUGUAAAAAAAAAUAAAAAAAAUAAAAUUCAGUUUUUUUUCUUCUUU